GCGGGCGGAGAAGGUCUACCAGGAACAGCUGACCACGGCUAAUAACAAGAGAAAAGAGCUGCUCCUUAACCGCAGCACCAAACAGAAGAACGAGAGAGAGAUGCUCAGCAGGAACAGGAAGGAACUGAUAAACGACCACAUCAACCGCUUUGAGAAGCUGCGUGACCUGCGGGCCUCGUUGGAGGACACCUGGAGACGCAGCGCCGACCUGAAACGCCACCGAGACAGAGAGGAGAAGGAAUUCAUCAAGUCUGGGAGCAGUCUUCUGAUUGACCAGUGUGAGCAGUAC